CACGUAGGGGGCGAGCGUUGUCCGGAUUUAUUGGGCGUAAAGAGCUCGUAGGCGGCUCGGUAAGUCGGGUGUGAAACCUCCAGGCUCAACCUGGAGACGCCACCUGAUACUGCUGUGGCUAGAGUCCGGUAGGGGAGUGUGGAACUCCUGGUGUAGCGGUGAAAUGCGCAGAUAUCAGGAAGAACACCUGCGGUGUAGACGGCUUACUGGACCAUAACUGACGCUGAGGCCCGAAAGCGUGGGUAGCAAACAGG
rnacentral:rRNA from 1 species